GACGAACGCUGGCGGCGUGCUUAACACAUGCAAGUCGAACGGAAAGGCCCUGCUCUUGUGGGGUGCUCGAGUGGCGAACGGGUGAGUAACACGUGAGUAACCUGCCCUUGACUUUGGGAUAACUUCAGGAAACUGGGGCGAAUACCGGAUAGGAGCUCCUGCUGCAUGGUGGGGGUUGGAAAGUUUCGGCGGUUGGGGAUGGACUCGCGGCUUAUCAGCUUGUUGGUGGGGUAGUGGCUUACCAAGGCUUUGACGGGUAGCCGGCCUGAGAGGGUGACCGGCCACAUUGGGACUGAGGUACGGCCCAGACUCCUACGGGAGGCAGCAGUGGGGAAUCUUGCACAAUGGGCGGAAGCCUGAUGCAGCAACGCCGCGUGCGGGAUGACGGCCUUCGGGUUGUAAACCGCUUUCGCCUGUGACGAAGCGUGAGUGACGGUAAUGGGUAAAGAAGCACCGGCUAACUACGUG
rnacentral:rRNA from 1 species